rfam:Chrysochromulina sp. CCMP291 CAF.Contig8067, whole genome shotgun sequence.
UGCCAUGGAGUGACGUGAGGCUACCCGCUGAACUUAAGCAUAUCACUAAGCGGAGGAGAAGAAAACAACCGUGAUGCCCCUAGUAAUGGCGAAUGAAGCGGGCAUAGCUCACGCCGCCAAUCUGGAGGCCCUCGCGGCCCCCCGAAUUGUAGUCUAGAAAGGCGCCAUCGGCCGCGUCCGUCGCCAAAAUCCCUUGGAACAGGGUAUCGGAGAAGGUGAGAAUCCUGUGACGUGGCGGAUCGCGGCCGCACGAUGCGUUCUUACAGAGUCGGGUUGCUUGGGAUUGCAGCUUGAAAUGGGAGGUAAAUUCCUUCUAAAGCUAAAUAUUGCAGCGAGACCGAUAGCGAACAAGUACCGUGAGGGAAAGAUGCAAAGAACUUUGAAAAGAGAGUUAAAGAGUGCUUGAAACCGACAAGGGGAAACCCGGUUGCGCCCGGUGUCGUGUAGUCGACUCAGCCCUAACGGGUGCACUUUGACUGCACGGGUCAGCCGCCUCUCCGCGCGAGGGAGAAGCACCUUAGUUUAGUUACAUGGGGACUUACCUCGCGUGGGGCGCCGUCUGACGUAACGGGCGCCACCGACCCGUCUAGAAACACGGACCAAGGAGUCUGACAUGGACGCGAGUACUUGGGUGUCAAACCUAUGUGCGCAAUGAAAGUGAAGGGCGUGCCCCGCCAACCGACCUUGAUCUGCUGUGAAGGGUUUGAGUGGAGCGUUCCUGUCGGGACCCGAAAGAUGGUGAACUAUGCCUGGAUAGGUUGAAGUCUGCUGAAAGGCAGAUGGAGGGCCGUAGCGAUACUGACGUGCAAAUCGUUCGUCAAAUCUGGGUAUAGGGGCGAAAGACUAAUCGAACCAUCUAGUAGCUGGUUCCCUCCGAAGUUUCCCUCAGGAUAGCUUGAACGCCGACGGUUUUGUCAGGUAAAGCGAAUGAUUAGAGGCCUUGGGGCUGCAACAGCCUUAACCUAUUCUCAAACUUUAAAUGGGCAAGAAGCUUGGGAUGCUUGAUUGAUCCCUUGCGGUGAACGGCGCGUUCAAAGUGGGCCAUUUUUGGUAAGCAGAACUGGCGAUGCGGGAUGAACCGAACGUCGCGCUAAGGUACCCAAGUGUCCGCUCAUCAGAUACCACAAAAGGCGUUGAUACCUUUAGACAGCAGGACGGUGGCCAUGGAAGUCGGAACCCGCUAAGGAAUGUGUAACAACUCACCUGCCGAAGGUAUUAGCCCUGAAAAUGGAUGGCGCUCAAGCGGACCACCGAUGCGCGACCGCCGGCGCGAGUGCGAGGCGCCGGCGAGUAGGAGGGCGCGGGGCUCGUGACGCAGCCUUGGGCGUGAGCCUGGGUGAAACGGGCUCUGGUGCAGAUCUUGGUGGUAGUAGCAAAUAUUCAGAUGAGAACUCUGAAGACUGAAGUGGAGAAAGGUUCCAUGUGAACAGCAGUUGGACAUGGGUGAGCCGACCCUAAGAGUCAGGAAAGCUCCGUUGAACGCGGCCCUUCUGUGGCCCGUCCUCGAAAGGGAAUCGGGUUAAUAUUCCCGAGCCAGCGCGUGGAUGGUGGGCGGUGACGCGAACGAACUCGGAGACGUCGGCGGGAGCCCUGGGAAGAGUUCUCUUUUCUUCUUAACUGCCUCUUGCCCUGAAAACGGUUCGGCCGGAGCUAGGGCUUUAUGGCAGGCAAAGCACCUUAAGUCUUGAGGUGUCCGGCGCGCUCCCGACGGCCCGUGAAAAUCCGGGGGAGCGGUUCGUUCUCACGCCUGGUCGUACUCAUAACCGCAUCAGGUCUCCAAGGUGAACAGCCUCUAGUCGAUAGAGCAAUGUAGAUAAGGGAAGUCGGCAAAAUGGUUCCGCAACCUCGGGAGAAGGAAUGGCUCUGAAGGCUGGGCUUAAGGGUCUUAGGUCCGAGGCCCAAGGCUGCGCGAGGACUACUGCUCACGCGGCGGACCACGCGCGGCCGACCGGCGGAUGGCCUAGGAGUGCUUCGGCUUUCCUUAGGCGAUGAACAGCUGCUUCAGAACUGGCGCGGACAAGGGGAAUCCGACUGUUUAAUUAAAACAAAGCAUUGCGAUGGCCGGGGACGGUGCUGACGCAAUGUGAUUUCUGCCCAGUGCUCUGAAUGUCAAAGUGAAGAAAUUCAACCAAGCGCGGGUAAACGGCGGGAGUAACUAUGACUCUCUUAAGGUAGCCAAAUGCCUCGUCAUCCAAUUAGUGACGCGCAUGAAUGGAUUCGUGAGAUUCCCACUGUCCCUAUCUACUGUCUAGCGAAACCACAGCCAAGGGAACGGGCUUGGAAAAAUCAGCGGGGAAAGAAGACCCUGUUGAGCUUGACUCUAGUCUGUUGCGCGGGACGACUUGAGAGGUGUAGAAUAAGUGGGAGGGUGACCGCCAAUGAAAUACCACUACUUUCAACGUCGUCCCACUUACCCGGUCGUGCGGAAUGGUGCUUGCACCUCUUCUGGCUCUAAGCUUGCGAUCCGCGUCGGGGACACACACAGGUGGGGAG